rnacentral:tRNA from 1 species
GGGUCCAUAGCUCAGUUGGUAGAGCGCCUGCCUUACAAGCAGGAUGUCAUCGGUUCAAAUCCGGUUGGACCCA